rnacentral:rRNA from 1 species
AUGAACGCUGGCGGCGUGCCUAAUACAUGCAAGUCGAACGCUUCACUUCGGUGAAGAGUGGCGAACGGGUGAGUAAUACAUAAGUAACCUGGCAUCUACAGGGGGAUAACUGAUGGAAACGUCAGCUAAGACCGCAUAGGUGUAGAGAUCGCAUGAACUCUAUAUGAAAAGUGCUACGGGACUGGUAGAUGAUGGACUUAUGGCGCAUUAGCUUGUUGGUAGGGUAACGGCCUACCAAGGCGACGAUGCGUAGCCGACCUGAGAGGGUGACCGGCCACACUGGGACUGAGACACGGCCCAGACUCCUACGGGAGGCAGCAGUAGGGAAUUUUCGGCAAUGGGGGAAACCCUGACCGAGCAACGCCGCGUGAAGGAAGAAGUAAUUCGUUAUGUAAACUUCUGUCAUAGGGGAAGAACGGUGGAUAUAGGGAAUGAUAUCCAAGUGACGGUACUCUAUAAGAAAGCCACGGCUAACUACGUG